UAGAGAAUGCUGCCGGGACUGACCCAUGUCUUUUCUGAAUCACCUCUGACAUAUGACCAGGAAUACAACAUGUUUAAGACCACAGAACAUCUGCAUAGGCUGUAAAUUUCGUUGAAUGAUGGAUGCAAAGAUGGAAGACAGAUGGAUAGAGGAAAAGACAGAAUCAGAUACUGGAUGAGUUAGUACUGCUGCCUGUGCUUCAGAGCUGUCUUAUUACCACAAGGCCGGCAAGCAUCAAUGUCCCCACAUCCCCCUCUGCCUCCCCCUGAAAUGUACCGAUUUAUAUGAAAAUUAAGAUUACAAAUUAAAGCCUGGCUAUCCUGGAGUUUUCCAGUUCAUCAGCCAUCCAAUAAAAAUGAUGUCAAGCCUGUAUGCAUAAUUCCCGGAAGAUUACUUUCGUCCUUACAGCUAAGCCCUGUCCCUGAUAUGAAAGAUCUCUAUCCACUUUUAUUGAAAUAAAGAACUAACAUCAUAAUCC
rnacentral:lncRNA from 1 species